UCUGGCACCUUCGGUGUCCGAGUUGUAAUCUCUAGAAGUGUUUUCCGCGUUGGACCGCACACAAGUCUGUUGGAAUACAGCGGCAUAGUGGUGAAACCCCCGUAUAUGGUGCGGACGCCCAGCGCUUUGUGAUACACUUUCAAUGAGUCGAGUUGUUUGGGAAUGCAGCUCAAAUUGGGUGGUAAAUUCCAUCUAAAGCUAAAUAUUGGCGAGAGACCGAUAGCGAACAAGUACCGUGAGGGAAAGAUGAAAAGCACUUUGGAAAGAGAGUUAACAGUACGUGAAAUUGUUGGAAGGGAAACGCUUGAAGUCAGACUUGCUUGCCGGAGCUUGCUUCGGUUUGCAGGCCAGCAUCAGUUUUCCGGGGUGGAUAAUGACGGUUUGAAGGUAGCAGUCUCGGCUGUGUUAUAGCUUUCCGUUGGAUACGCCCUGGGGGACUGAGGAACGCAGCGUGCUUUUUGCGAAAGACUCGUCUUUUUCACGCUUAGGAUGCUGGUGGAAUGGCUUUAAACGACCCGUCUUGAAACACGGACCAA
rnacentral:rRNA from 1 species